AGCUCCAAUAGCGUUAAUUUUGUUGUGGUUAAAAAGCUCGUAGUUGGAUCUCGGCAGGUUGAGGGCGGUUUGCUUGCUAGUAUUACUGCCCUAUAACCUGCAGUUUUGCCAGAGGUUUUAGGGUGCUCUUAACCGAGUGUCCUGGGAUGCUGGCAGGUUUACUUUGAAAAAAUUAGAGUGCUCAAAGCAGGCUGUUACGCCUGAAUAUUCGUGCAUGGAAAUAUAGAAUAGGAAGUCGUUUCUAUUUUGUUGGUUUUCGGAAAUCGACUUAAUGAUUAACAGGGACAGUCGGGGGCAUUUGUAUUCAAACGACAGAGGUGAAAUUCUUGGACCGUUUGAAGACAAACUACUGCGAAAGCAUUUGCCAAGAAUGUUUUCA
rnacentral:rRNA from 1 species